rnacentral:lncRNA from 1 species
CUUCCAACCUUUAUGAGCUUCCGAGCACUAUAAAACAGAGGAAAAUAAAUAGAGUAAGCAUAUAAUGCUUAGUAAGUUUGUAUAAUUAGAAAUUUAACUCACCAUUCAUUUCCAUUAAAAUAAACAUGCAAAAUGCAUCAAAUAAGUUUGGAUAAUAGCCUAAACACCCAACUUCAUCAAACAAGUUUGGCUAAUAGCCUAAACACCCAACUUCAUCAAACAUGUUAGUCAUUAUAAUUCACACAAUUGCCAAGAAACAUGAAUGAGCUCAUCAUGUAAUAACUUUCAUACAUAUAUACUUUUCUUAUCAUAUUUCCAUAUAACAUAUACAUUUCUAUCAUAAAUCAUCUUAAGUUCAGUUUAUCCAUGUCAGAACUUUGCCCGUUGAAUUUAUUUGGAACAUUAAUAGAUACUCAUGUAGUACACUUAAAGUGUACAAAACUGUAAUCCGUCAAUUCAUAUUCAGGGGUACUCAUUAGAGCACAUAAUCAGGAAACACUCUCUCAAGUUAUAUAACAGGAAGCUUGUGUGAGCCAUGUAACAUGAAGCUUAUCCGGGCUUAAUAACAGGAAACUCAUAAGAGUUUAAAACAAAAAGUUCAUGUGAACUUAACAGGAUAACUCCGAAGAGUUAUUAUCAAGAAGCUCCGGAGAGCCAUAUAACAAGAACUUCAACCGAGCCAAAUUAGGAAGCUCACAAAGAGCCUAUAUCGGGACGCUUAUAAAGAGCUGCAGUAUGUCUGCAAUACAUGUAUGAUCAAUACCGAUCAUAUAACAGGACACUCACAAAGAGCUAUGGUAUAUCGCAACACAUGCAAGAUCAAUACCGAUCGGGAUGCUCGUAAGAACCAUAUAAUGGAAAGCUCGAGAGAGCUUAUAACAGGAUGCUCUUUCGAGCUAUGGUGUGUCCGCAACAUAUGAGGACUACAACCAAUACAAGAAACUUGUAUCCUUCGAUUUUCAUUUGUUCAAAUGGAACUUAGCAUUUAUCAGGCAUUUUCGGAUAUUUAACUACUUUCACAUAUACGAAAAUUAUACAAUUUUAUGUAUAUAACAUAUAAUUUAAACAUAUAAAUACACACAACUUAGUUACACGAACUUACCUCGACAUUUGUUUGUAUACGAGAAUCUACUAAUCCGAUACUUUUUGGUUUUCUUGAUCUAACUCCGUACUAGGUAUAAGAGAGUGUUACCACUACGUGUCUUACGACCCAACUUAGAAACUUGAAUAGCUUGCCAUCCCCUACAUGUCUAAUGGCCACAGCUCGCCAUUCAUCGGUUCGCUUGAUGGUCACGACUCGCCACUCCCUUACAACUUGCCACCUUCCCUAGAUUGCCAAUUCACCAUGUAGUUGAUCCGUUGUUCAUCAUUUCCUUGUUUGUUGGUUGGCCAGUUCGCCACUUUCCAACCUCACCUCCCAGCUUGCCUACUCGCAAAGAGGCCCCUUCAGAGAUACCUCUGAGGUUAUGUGUCAAACCUAGAGGGGUAAUGUGUUGGUGUGCAUGGCACCUAAUUAUCCUUUAACACGUCUCAUCAAGAAACUGUAUUACAAAAAUAUUUUUUUUAUUUCUAAUUUACACUGUGUGUUGAAUUAUGUAUUUAUGUAAAAAAGGAGAUAAAUUUAAAUAAUAUGUAAAUAUUAAAAUUUAGAUUUUUAAAAAUUACUACUACGUUAACCCAAUAUGUAAACAUUGAUGGUUAAAUUUUUUUUUCAAUGUUUUUUGAACAACAACAUAGGGUGAUCGGAAAUAUGUUAUUGUUGUUCUUGGCAGUGAUGUUACUUGCACUUUCCUUAGCCCUUGAUGUGCUGCUACCAUUUUUUGUUGAAUAUAUACUUCCGUGAUUUUGAUGCUUUUACGUUUUUAUUUCUAAUUUGGUUCUUUUUUUUAACUAUAUAAUAGUUUUUCAGUGUUUUUUUCCGAAUAAUAUGAAAAAGAAUUUUUUAUCAUAAAAAUAUAAAAAGUUUUUUGGUUAUUGAAAUAAUAUGGACUAUGCAUAGGAACCCCAAAUUAGCAUGAUGAAUAACAAUUUGGGAUUACUACGAGAUAAUAGUUGUGUCAGACAGAGGCAUAGAAUCCUUAUAAUUUCAAAUUGGCAGCCGACAUGCUGAUCUGGAUUCCUGAUGGCUUGUCAUGUUAGAAAUUUAAGUUUUUUUAAAAAAUAUUUUUAAAACUAUUUUCUAUUUUUAUUUUAAAAAGUUUAUUUUUUAUAAUUUUAUUUCUAAAAACUUGUUUUUUUAAAUGUUAUUUUUAAAAUUUUAUUUUAUUUUUACUUAAAAUAGGAAGAAUUAAUUUUUAAAACUUAUUAAAAAUUUUAUAACUUUUAAAGGGUGAAGACCAAAUUGACAAAAAAUGUAAAUGUUGAAGGCUAAAAAAAUUAUUUUACCUUUGAAAUAAUUAACUUUAAUGGUAGAAAAAGAUGGAAGAAUCAAGAUUUUUAAAUAAAAAAAAGUAUAAGGACUCAAUAUCUUAAAAUUAAAAGUAUAAUAACUAAACUUUAAAUUUCAAAAGAGUGUAAGGACCUUUGAUAUAUUUAAGCCUAUAAAUUGUACACAGUAAAUGAUGCAUGAAAUUACAAAUCUAAAUAAUGAAACAACGUAUUGAGUAACUUAAGAUGGAUUAAAAUGGGAUAUAAAUGUUUAGAAAAGAAUUCUUACACUAAAAAGCAUGUAGUGAGUCCUUAGUGCGUACAGUUGGUAUAGGUGUUAUGAAUAGAUAUUAGAGGCUAGGAAAUAGAAGUACAACAAUUCCAUAUAGAAUUCAAGCUUUAAAUUAUUAUUUGCACCAUUUGGGAGUCUAAACUCAUUUAUUUUUUUUUAUAUAAAAUAGAUAUUAUUAUUUGCACUUACAAUGAAUAUUUUUGAUAUAUACAUAUACAUAUAAAGUUUUAGUCGAAAUGGGAGAUAUUAUUAAUUUGGAUUAAAAUUUAUGCAAAAUGGAGUUCAAAUGUUAAAUUACUAUUUGCAUUACGUGGGAGUCUAAGCUCAUUUAAUUUUUUUCGUCCAAAAUAAAUAUUAUUUGUACAAUUUUUUUGUCAAUUUGGUAUUUACCCUUUAAAAGUAUAUAUUUUUUAAUAAUUUUUAAAAAUUAAUUUUUCAUAUUUUAAAUAAAAUUCUAAAAUUUUAAAAAUUAUAUAUUUAAAAAAAAUUAUUUUUAAUAAAAAAGUUGGUCUGCUACCCUAGCACGAAAACGUCUGCCUAUUGGCAUGCAUUUUAGGUUUUUAUUUUUUUAGCAUAAUUUGUCCUUGCCGGCGGGUCACUUUCAAACAACUUUUUCCAUAGUAAAGCACGGGUACAAUCAGGAUCAGGUCUCCGUCCUACAAACAUGGAGAUGGAAUUAGCAGAUUAACACUAGAUGAAGAAGAAGAAGCAGUUCUUCAAGUACAAACAGAGCAGCGCACACAGGGAGAAGAGGGGAUUUUCAGGUUAGUGGGUUGUUUCUUAAUAGCAAGUGUUUUCAUUAUCCUGCAAUGAAAAGUACUAUGGCAAAUUUAUGGCAUCCGGUUCAGGUUGUCCAGAUUCGGGAUCUGGGAGAUAGAAGAUUCUUGUUCCAAUUUUUUCAUGUUAUGGAUUUGGAGAGAGUAUUAAAUGGAUCACCAUGGACAUUUAAUAAUCACUUACUGCUGCUAUACAAAUUACAACUGGGGGAGGAUCCAUUAAGAGUUUUUUUUUUGCUUUUUUUGUAGUCGUUUGGGUCAUAGUGAUGCUUUUUGUGAAGCAAAAAUGGAAGCAGGUAUGGAAGUUGCUGAUAUGGGGUGGAACUUAUCGUUGAGAGCUCAAUCUAGAAGGGCUUUAGCAAUGAAAAGUAUAUGGCUGCGAGAAGACAAUGAUGAUAAUUUUGGAGUUAAUAGUGCAGACAGACGCAUUCAAAGGAACGACAAAUGGGCUGCGAAACACACGCAAGGAUUUUGGUGACCUAUUGACCCAAUACUGGGACUAAGCCUGAAAGGAAAACCGGCUUAUGUGGGGCAAGAGAGAGUUAAAUCGACGAUUAAUCCAGCUCCUGCUGAUAUGGAGCAUGAUCAGGAAGAUGGAAUUUUAAUUGGGGAGGAAGGGCAAAAGAGAGCUAGAGGGGAGAAUGAGGAUGAGAUCAAUAAUUCAAUGAACAGAAAUAGACGAGUAUUGGAAGGUAAUUAUUUAUUAUCGGUGGCUGCCAAGAGGCAUGCCGACCGGGCGCAAUGAAAAUCUUGAGUUGGAAUGUCCGUGGAUUAGGAAGUCCACGGGCGAUUCGCAGACUUCGGCAUUCACUGAAGAUACAUAAUCCCCAAGUGGUUUUCUUUAUGGAAACUAAGGUGUGUAAAAAUAACAUGGAAAGAAUUUGUCAUAGAUGUGGUUAUAUGAAUGGGAUUGAAGUUGAUCCAAUUAAUACUAGAGGUGGUCUAUGUUUAGCAUGGAGGAAUGAUAUUUGCAUUGAGCUUAGGAGUUUUUCUAAGAGACACAUUGAUGUGGUGGUUGAGGAUAAGGAGGUAAAGGGAAAAUGGAGACUCACUGGAUUCUAUGGAUCUCCCUAUGCUCAAGACAUGAGUGAAUCUUGGAAUGUGUUGAGGAAUUUACACAAUGAUGAUGGGAGGCCUUGGUUCGUUUGUGGAGACUUUAAUGAGAUAAUGUACAGCCAUAAAAAAAAAGGAGGGCUACCUUGUGAUGAACGAAAAAUGGAGAAUUUUCGUAUUGUUUUAGUGGAUUGUGAACUUUUGGAUGUGGGCUUUUCUGGGAAUUGGUUUACGUGGGAAAGAGGAAAUCUGCCCUAAACAAAUAUUCGGGAAUGACUUGAUCGUGGAGUUGUUAAUGAUGUAUGGAUGAGUUUGUUUCCGGAGGUCAUUAUUCAACAUAUGCCUCACUCUUUUUCGGAUCAUUGUCCUCUCUUAAUUACUACUAGGAGGGUUGAAAAGGGGAUAAAUACUAAAGCAUUCAAGUUUGAAGCAUGGUGGAUAAUGGAAGAGUCUUUUAAUAAAGUCAAAAAUUUAUGGGAGUCAUCUUCUAGAAGCCUAUUACAAAAGCUAGAUAUCUUAAAAAAAGUCGAACUCAAUUUGAUAGAAGGAGAAAGGAUAUGCUCACAGUUAGACUAUCAGAACUUGCAGGGGAUGAGAGAGAUGAUAUUAACAUGGCAGAAUUGAUUGAUUGUAAAAUUCAAUUGAACUUUGAGAUUGAGAAGGAUGAACGUUACUGGGAACAGUGAGCUCGGAUAAAUUGGUUGAAAUUUGGGGAUAAGAAUACUGUAUUUUUUCAUAACCAAGCGACGCAGCGUAAAAGAAAAAACGUCAUACACAAACUUAACGAUAAAGGAGGAGGAACAACGGAGAUUAUAAAAGAAAUGGAGGGAAUUGCGCGAUCUUAUUUUCAAAAUUUAUCUUCAACAGAUGGACGAGAAAAUCUUGACCAUUUGUUAUCAAGUAUUGAGAAAUGCAUAUCUGAGGAGGAAAACGAAGAUCUUUUGAGGCCUUAUACGGCAGAGGAGUUUAGAGAGGCGCUUUUUACAAUGGGUCCUACCAAAACACCAGGUGAACAUGGCUUCCCGGCACUAUUUUACCAAAAUUGCUGGCACAUCAUUAGGGAGGACGUCACCAAAUUCUGUUUACAAAUUCUAAAUGAAGGUAUGGAUUUUCAACAAAUUAAUGCGACUCAAAUAAAUUUUAUCCCUAAAAUUGAUAAUCAUACUACUAUGAUGGAUUUCCGUCCUAUCAGUCUGUGCAAUGUGCUUUAUAAAAUUACAGCAAAAACGAUUGCAAAUAGGCAUAGAGGAGUUAUCAAAAAAUGCAUUGAUAGGGCCUAAAGUACGUUUGUACCAGGCAGAUUGAACUCAGACAAUAUUCUACUUGCAUAUGAAAUUCUUCAUACUCUUAAACAAAAGAGAAAUGGGAAAAAAGGUCUUAUGGCAGUCAAGUUGGACAUAAGUAAAGCAUAUGACAGGGUUGAGUGGAAUUUUAUAAAAAAAAUGAUGGCACGAAUGGGGUUUGAUAUGAGAGUGAUCAGAAUUUUGAUGAAAUGUUUGACAACGGUCUCCUACUCAGUAGUUGUAAACGAAUACAUAGGAGAAAGCUUUCAACCAACAAGGGGACUUCGUCAGGUAGAUCCACUUAGCCCGUUUCUUUUUCUCAUUUCUGGGGAAGGGCUGUCAUGUUUAAUGAGAUUAGUAUGCAGGGAAGGACUAGUGAAAAGCGCUAAAGCUAGUAGGAACGGACCACAGGUAUCACAUUUACUGUUUGCUGAUGAUUGUAUCUUAUUUGGUCAAGCAACAAGUAGAGAAGCUAAUUUUUUAAAGGAAAUUUUGGGGGAAUAUAGGAGAUGCUCGGGCCAAUGUGUUAACUUUAAUAAGUCCACUGUCUUUUCUAGCAGUAAUACAAAUGAUGAAGAUAAACGAGAGGUGGUAAACAUUUUGGGGGUGCGUAGUUCAGAAAAUCCGGAGAGGUAUUUGGGGUUACCCAACACAGUUGGAAGAAGGAAAAAAUAAUCUUUUCAGGGCCUAAAAGAUAGAUUUAAGAAACGUAUUGACAAUUGGAGCACCAGGUUUUUGUCUCAGGGCGGGAAAGAAGUGUUUAUUAAAUCAGUCCUUCAAUAUACCAACUUACUUUAUGUCGUGUUUCUUAUUACCCAAGUCUUUAUGUUCAGAAAUGGAAAGCAUUAUAGCUCAAUUUUGGUGGCAAAAGGGGAAUGGAAAACGAGGAAUACAUUAGUGUGCAUGGAAAAAUCUUUGCAUUUUAAAAGAAAAUGGGGGUCUUGGUUUUCGAAACACGAGUCAGUUCAAUAUCGCAUUAUUAGCCAAAUGGGGGUGGCGCCUUAUUAAUUACCUGAAUUCAUUAGUGGCUAGAGUGUUCAAGGCUAAAUACUAUCCAAAUACAGACUUUAACAGCACUCAGUUAGGGAAUAUACCUUUUCUUACCUGGAAGAGUGUGUAGGCUGCUAAGGGAUUGUUAAAUAAUGGACUGUGUUGGAGGGUUGGAAAGGGUGACGGGAUCUCGAUCUGGGAGGAACGUUGGCUACCAGGCAAGGAACCUGAAGAGUGGAAUAGUAGAAACAGAAGUGAAGAGUACAAGUUAGUUUCAGAAUUAAUUGAUCCAAAUACCAGAAUGUGGAAGACAGAUAUUAUCAUGCAAAUCAUGCAAAUUCCUCUUGCGAAAAUUCCUCAUAACGACAUUCAAAUGUGGAAGGGAGAAUCGACCGGAGAAUUCACUGUCAGAAGCGCCUACAAACUAUUACAAGAAGCUAGCAUGGAUCCUAGUUAUUAUUAUUUACAGGCCGACUCAAAGAAUUUGUACAAAAAACUUUGGAAUCUAAGACUACCCUAAAAAAUACUGAUUGCAAUUUAGAGAAUUACAUGGAACUAUAUCCCGAAUUUUGUAAAUCUAAAACAUAAGCGAGUGAUCAAUAGUGCUUUAUUCCCUCGUUGCGGGAAUGGAGAAGAAGACAGUGGGCAUGUCUUUUUGAAUUGCCCUGUUACAGUAGUGAUUUGGAGGAAGUUAGAGGUCUCAUGGGUAGACAGAAUAGUUCAAAAUAUCUGGGAAUGGAUCACCUGGAUCUUUCAAAAUACUGCUAUUCAACAGUGUCGCUUGCUCUGCUGUGGCUUGUGGAUUAUAUGGAGUUCACGAAAUAAGCUUGUACACGAAAGGAAGUUAGAGUCAGAAGAUGAGAUUUUACAGAAUAUUCGAAGAUAUAUGGCUGAGAUUGAAGGAUUAGAAGAAAAGAAACUCACCUCUCCAACGGGGUAUAGAAGCAACACUAUAGAUGUAAACACCAGGGCAACGAUUCAGUUUGACGCUGCACUCGAUAACAGAAACCACAGAUCAGCAUCGGGAUUAGUGGUUUGGCGUCAGACGGGGGAACUCCUUGCAUUUAAGUCAAUGAUCAACUGGAAGGUUUCAUCUCCGUUUGUUGCAGAGGCGUAUGCAGGCUUACAGGCUGUUCAAUUAGGGAUCUCGCUAAAACUUCCCUCAGUAACGGUUAUGGGAUAUUCUCAAACAGUUAUCAAAAAAUGCCAGUCAAAGAACUCGGAUAAAUCAAUCAUCGGUACAAUAAUCAGAGACAUUUAUAGCAGUAUGAACAGGUUUCAAGAAAUAAAAUUCCAGUUUAUUAAAAGAACAGAGAAUGCCUAUGCUCACAACCUGGCAAAGGAGUCUUUGAGAAAGAAUGAGGAAACGUACCAGAGAAGGCCGGAUCUGACUCAACACCAUUCCCAACCGGAGAGAAAAUAGAGGAACAACCCAGAUUGAGAUUUGUUUGGGGUUAAUGAAAUAAAACAGAUAGCUGAAAAUGGUAUAUGGAUAAACUAUUGACAAGCAUAGAGAAGACAGUGAUGUGGAAGGAAAUGGAGUACAGUUGUGUCUUGGGAAUCGGCUAGUUUAAUUUCAACAAGCUUCCUUUUUAUUUGUUUUUCAAUUAAUAGGCAGGUUUUAUUAGAAUUAUUUUAAUUAUUUUUGAAACUAAUGGCUAAAGAAAUAGGCCAAUUAUGGGAUAGGAAGUCUAGAGUGUCAUAGGCCUGAACCAUUAUUAUUAGGUUUUGUAUUUGACUUCUUUAUUUAUUUAAGUCUAG